rnacentral:tRNA from 1 species
ACCUGGCUGGCUCAGUCGGUAGAGCAAGCGAUUCUUGAUCUCGGGGUUGUGAGUUCAAGCCCCAUGCUGUGUG